rnacentral:lncRNA from 1 species
AGAGAGAGAGAGAGAGAGAGAGAGAGAGAGAGAUAAUGUGUGCUAGGGUUUUGAUGUGAGAGAAAUGGUGAUAUUUUCCAGAAGCGAGACUUAAUUCGCUUAUAUAUGGGUAAACUAUUUCACCGUAUUCAUAUUCAAAAACCGUGAUGAAAUGUAAUCCCUUUCACAAGGGUUGACAUUACCAACCGUAGUGAUAGAUAUUGUAUGAGUCAUUCGUUUGUAAGUGAUUCGUGACACACA